UGCGAUGAGUCGAGAGGUCUGGUAGCAACCCAAAUGGCUACCAUAAGACAUUUUGACAAGUGGGGUACGUUAACUCACCGGAUUGUGAGGUACCUGGUUCUGUUGGCCAUGUGGACAGU
rnacentral:ncRNA from 1 species